rnacentral:lncRNA from 10 species
CAAGGACACCACAGCCUGGGAUGGGAUUCUCAAGCCCAGCUCACAUUAGGAUUACCUAGAAGCUCUAAAAAGCUUCUGUGCACCCAGACACAUGAAAUCAGAAUCUCCAAGGGUGGAAGUCAGAUGAAUGCUUCGCAAGCCUCAGGAAUAGUUUUUGAUGGUUCCGUGAGAACCGAUCAGGAGCUCUGGAAGAGGAAAUCUGACGUGUGAGCAAAAACAGCAAGUCCUGAAGCAGAACAUCUCAGUGGCAGCUUUGACUCACCCCCGUGUCUGAGCAGUCUCCAAUCUGACAGGUUGCCAUGGUGGAAAGAAUCCAGAGACAGCUUCCAAUAAUUUCUCCCCUCCCUGGGCUUUUGUGCCCUUCCUCAGUUCAAGAGAUGAGUCUGUGUGCCCUCCCCUGAGAUCUGACUGGCCUAUGGCUUGUUUUUCACCAGUAGGUUGUGGAGGCUAUUCUGUAGGACUUCCAAGCCUGGGCCUGAAGAGGAUGGGCAGAUGCUACUAUCUCUCUGGAGCACAGGUGCCAUGCUUUAAGGAAGUCCAGGCUAGAUGACUUCAAGGUCAGAGGUUAUAUGAAGAGAGGCCUUGGAGGAAGAGCAGUUUCAGAUCUAGCCAAGCUCCCAAGUGAAUUCAGAUGCGUGAGAAACCCAAGGGAGACCAACAGAAAAUCACCCUGCUGAGCCCUGGUGUAUUAGUCUGUUUUCAUGCUGCUUGUGAAGACAUACCAUAGGCUGGGCAAUUUACAAAAGAAAGAGGAUUAAUUGGACUUACAGUUCCACGUGGCUGGGGAAGCUUCACAAUCAUGGCGGAAGGUAAGGAGGAGCAAGUCACAUCUUACUCGAAUUGCAGCAGGCAAAGAGAGAAUGAGCACCAAAGAGAAGGAUUUCUCCUUAUCAAACCAUCAGAUCUUGUGAGACUUACUACCACGAGAAAGGCUUGGGAGAAGCCUCCCCCACGAUUCAAUGAUUUUCCACCGGGUCCCUCCCAAGACAUGUGGGAAUUCAAGAUGAGAUUGUGGUGGGGACACAGCCAAAUUAUAUCACCUGGCCAGAGUCCUGAUCUACAGAAUCAUGAGGAAAUGUAAACCAUUGUUCUAAGCCACUAAGUUUUGGAGUUUUAUUACAGCAAUAAUAAUUGAAAAGUUUCUCCUUCUGGCUCUGUAAUUGGACUGUAAGUUCAAUUAGUCCAAUUAUGGCAUUGUAUUAUAUUUUCAUUGUAUUUCCAUUGUAUUGCAGUCUUGUCUAAGCCCAUUUGGUCAUACCCAAUAAUUAGCUGGGCAGCUAUUGGUAGCCUCCAAUCAAGGGUGUUUAUCCCAAGAAUCAUGAAAUUCAAGAAAGUUGUGAACACAGAUGGGGAAAAAGAUAACAUCUUUAUUUUCAUUAAUGUUUAACUGAAAUUUAGCAUUGCCUUUCGUUACAAAUGAGACAAGAAACCACAGUAGUAUAAAAAUUCUUGUGGCUUUGUCACAAGUGAUUUCUACUGUCGCUAAUAGAAAUCACAUAUUUUUUUCAUAUCAC